UAGCAUAUUUCCAAGGCCUAUGGCUAAUAGAGGCCAUGGCAUCUCCAACCGCUUGUAAGAGCAAACUGGAGAAACUUUGAUAGUGCAUGUCACCAAAACCAUUCUAACAAAAAUGUGUCCUAAAUACAUCUUUGUAUUUCUAACAAAGGCUGCUAUUUGCCUUUUCUAUAAAC